GAUAAACGCUGGCGGCGCACAUAAGACAUGCAAGUUGAACGGACUUAAUCGAAAUAUUUAUAUUUUGAAGCGGUUAGUGGCGGACUGGUUAGUAACGCGUAAGGAACCUGCCUAUUAGAGGGGAAUAACAGUGAGAAAUCAUUGCUAAUACCGCAUAUGCCAUAGAUAUCACAUGAUAACAGUGGGAAAGGAGCAAUCCGCUAAUAGAUGGCCUUGCGUCUGAUUAGAUAGUUGGUGGGGUAACGGCCUACCAAGUCGACGAUCAGUAGCCGGACUGAGAGGUUGAACGGCAACAUUGGGACUGAGAUACGGCCGAGACUCCUACGGGAGGCAGCAGUCGGGAAUAUUGCGCAAUGGAGGAAACUCUGACGCAGUGACGCCGCGUAUAGGAAGAAGGUUUUCGGAUUGUAAACUAUUGUCGUUAGGGAAGAGAAAGGACAGUACCUAAGGAGGAAGCUCCGGCUAACUACGU
rnacentral:rRNA from 1 species